rnacentral:rRNA from 1 species
AGGACGAACGCUGGCGGCGUAGCUUAACACAUGCAAGUCGAGCGGAAAGGCCCUUCGGGGUACUCGAGCGGCGAACGGGUGAGUAACACGUGAGCAACCUGCCCUUAGCUCCGGGAUAGCUCCGGGAAACCGGAAUUAAUACCGGAUAUGACCUAGGCCGACAUCGGCUGUGGUGGAAAGUUUUUCGGCUGGGGAUGGACUCGCGGCCUAUCAGCUUGUUGGUGGGGUAAUGGCCUACCAAGGCGACGACGGGUAG